CUGUGUUUUACAGGCAGUGGUACAGUUAUCAUAUCAGGACCAAAACCUCCCGCCCCUCCUGACAAAAACCAGCAAAUGCCUCAAAAUUAAAUAAAUAAAUGUCCAGCAGUGCAGGAUUUAACUAUGGUAAAUAACAUUUUUGCCUCAGUAGAACUGUGUGUCUCUGAGUGUUUUUAUUGAUGUUUUUGUUUGUGAUGGCUCCAAAACUAAAGCGUGAACUCCAGAUUCUCUCGGUUCGCUGACUGAUUGUACAGUAAAUCAUCUGAUGAAUACAACGCGAGCACAGGAGGCACGAAGAAAGAAACCCAGCACUCACUUUCAUGCUGGGAUUCAUCGUCACACAGAGUUAUUGGUUUGCCUCACUUGACCAGUUCAUGAGUGGAUUCACUGGCUGCAGCUCUUCCACUGUCCUGCUCACAUUUCUGUGUCACAGGGGCAGAUCAAUAACAAAUUUCCUGCUCUGUGGUGUGAGUGACAGGCUGCACUGCUGACGACAUGACUGAAGAAACACUCUGCUGUCUCUGAUCCUGCUGCUCGACGAUCUGUGCUGAUAAAAGAUGCGGUUAUUGAUCUUACAGCCGUCACUCAAGGCCUCUUGAUCUCGAGGCAUGGAUCGGACAUGUUGAGAAACACUUGUUAUCCGUCGUUCCUGGAGUCAGAUGAGACAAAAGGUAUGAGUUUUAUCUGUGAAUUGUGACCAGUUCAAAGAC